UACGGAGGGUGCAAGCGUUGUCCGGAUUUAUUGGGUUUAAAGGGUGCGUAGGCGGCCCGUUAAGUCAGUGGUGAAAGCCUCCAGCUCAACUGGAGAACUGCCAUUGAUACUGGCGGGCUUGAGUACAGACGAGGUAGGCGGAAUUGAGUGUGUAGCGGUGAAAUGCAUAGAUACAAUCAAGAACACCGAUUGCGUAGGCAGCUUACUAGGCUGUAACUGACGCUGAGGCACGAAAGCGUGGGGAGCGAACAGG
rnacentral:rRNA from 1 species